rnacentral:rRNA from 1 species
CAGUAGCCACGGUAAUACGUAGGGUGCGAGCGUUAAUCGGAAUUACUGGGCGUAAAGCGUGCGCAGGCGGUUAUAUAAGACAGAUGUGAAAUCCCCGGGCUCAACCUGGGACCUGCAUUUGUGACUGUAUAGCUAGAGUACGGUAGAGGGGGAAGGAAUUCCGCGUGUAGCAGUGAAAUGCGUAGAUAUGCGGAGGAACACCGAUGGCGAAGGCAAUCCCCUGGACCUGUACUGACGCUCAUGCACGAAAGCGUGGGGAGCAAACAGGAUUAGAUACCCCAGUAGUCCCUGUCUCUUAUAC